rnacentral:rRNA from 1 species
UGGGGAAUAUUGCACAAUGGAGGGAACUCUGAUGCAGCGACGCCGCGUGAACGAAGAAGGCUUUCGAGUCGUAAAGUUCUUUUAUAUGGGAAGAUAAUGACGGUACCAUAAGAAAAAGCCCCGGCUAACUACGUGCCAGCAGCCGCGGUAAUACGUAGGGGGCUAGCGUUGUCCGGAAUCACUGGGCGUAAAGGGUUCGCAGGCGGAAAUGCAAGUCAGGUGUAAAAGGCAGUAGCUUAACUACUGUAAGCAUUUGAAACUGCAUAUCUUGAGAAGAGUAGAGGUAAGUUGAAUUUUUAGUCUAACGGUGAAAUGCGUAGAUAUUAAAAAGAAUACCGGUGGCCAAAGCGACUUACUGGGCUCAUUCUGACGCUGAGGAACAAAAGCGUGCGUAGCAAACAGG